GUCCGGGUGCACCACAGUUUAUUUGUCCGUCACCUGGCUGCUUCUGAGUUUUGGCAGCUCUGAAUACAUCAGCUUAUUUUUAAGCAGUAGUGCAAUCACGUAUGGAUUAUUAGAUCAGUAAUGAGUUUAGGAGUUAUGUCCGUCCUCUUUUCUUUGAACUGCAUGUUAUUUAGAACUGUAUCGCUUAAUAUUUAAACACCUGAGGUUUUCAUAGAUCUUUUCCUUUUGGGUCUCUAAUCUGUUAGGGUUGGGGACAUACUGUGUAUGAUUUCAGUCCACUUAAAUUUGUUAAAACUUGUUUUAUGGCCCAUCAUGUGGUAUGUCUUCGUGAUUUUUAAAGUGUAAGUUCUGUGGAUGUGGGUGUCGUAGAGGUAAUCGGGUCAUGGUGGUUGAUAGCGUUCUUUAGGUUGUCGGUAUUUUUCCUGAUUUUUUGUGUGUGUGUCCUGUCAGUUUCUGAGAGAGGGGUGUUAAGAUUUUUGUGACUGUGAAGUUGUCUGCUUCUCCCCUUAUUUCGGUCAGCGCUUGCUUCAUGUAUUUUGAGGCUCUGUUUUUAAAGUGUCUCUCGCAGACAGUAUCUAGUUGGGUCUUGCAUUUUUUUUAUCCAUUUUGACAAUCUCUUCCUCUUAAUGGAGUUUUUAGUCUACAGAGAUUCAUUUUCAUUUUCCCUUCAGCUUUCUAGCUUUGCCUCCCUACGUCUUUAUUUAGAGGUUGCCCAAGGGAUUACAAAACACACACUUAAAUUUUAUCUGUAGUUUUUGAUGUCUCCUCUGCGUUCUCCUCGUAGACUAGGCUGCCAUGGCAGACCAGAGACAGCGCUCCCUCUCUACCUCUGGGGAAUCCCUGUACCACGUUCUGGGGCUGGACAAGAAUGCAACCUCGGAUGACAUUAAGAAGUCCUACCGGAAGCUGGCCUUGAAAUAUCACCCUGACAAGAACCCAGAUAACCCAGAGGCCGCAGACAAGUUUAAGGAGAUCAACAACGCCCACGCCAUCCUGACGGACUGCACGAAAAGAAACAUCUACGACAAGUACGGCUCGCUGGGGCUCUACGUGGCCGAGCAGUUCGGGGAGGAGAACGUGAACACCUACUUCGUGCUCUCCAGCUGGUGGGCCAAGGCCCUGUUUGUGUUCUGCGGGCUCCUCACCUGCUGCUACUGCUGCUGCUGCCUCUGCUGCUGCUUCAACUGCUGCUGCGGGAAGUGCAAGCCCAAGGCGCCGGAGGGCGAGGAGACCGAGUUCUACGUGUCCCCCGAGGACCUGGAAGCGCAGCUGCAGUCCGACGAGAGGGGAGGGCACUGACACUGUGCGGGAGUGUUUGUGGUGGCGGCGGGACGGUUGAGGUGUGAACGUGGACGCCGGAGAGGCCGCAGACACGCCGAUCGUCGUCCAGCCGGCGUCCGCCACGGAGACCACCCAGCUCACAGCCGACUCCCACCCCAGCUAUCACACCGAUGGGUUCAACUAAAUUCAGGAGAAGCUGUGAUUCGAGGGUCAGUCAGCACCCAGCCACUCGACCUUAGAAUCACGGACUGUAGUCCCAGAGGUGGGGCGGGAGCCGCCCUGGCCCCGGGAGGCAGCGCCAGCCCGCCUCUGUGCCCGCCCACCCGCCGGUCCCUGACGCGCGAAGUGCGCAGCAUGCAGCGUUUAAAGCAGUUCAGCUGCGGUCGUCUUCUUCUGUUGUCCCUUUAAUAGCAUGUGCAGGCUUACGUUCCACGUCUGUCUGUAUUGUGAGCGUGUUGCGGCCAGGCCGUAUUCCCCGGACGUGGGGCCGCCUCAGGGCUCUCGGGCAGGUCGACGCAGCGGUCGGACGGCCCGUGUGGUCCCUCGCGGUCAGGCGGGCUCGGGCUCCGUUCCCCGUGCCCAUGGGGGCCUGAGGCAGGUGCUGCCUGGCUGGAGCCGUGGGGUCUGCUCCCUGCCCCGUGCCUGCCAAGCAUGUGGCCACAGGCAGGGCCUCUGGACUCACCUGCCAGGAAGGAGCUGGGCCCACUCUCCCAGCGCCGGGGCGUUUCUGUGGCUUCGUACCAGGGACAGUCUGUGCGGGACCCGUUCACCUCGUCUGCUUAGCCUGUAGCAGUUGUUUCUCAUGUCUGACCUGAGGCCCCCGUGCUUCGAGUGUGUUCCCUCCCGGGGUGGGGACGUUCCCACACGUCCCCAGGCCAUGAGCUGGAUGGAAGGGGCCCCUUCCGCAGCCUCCACUCUCCCCUUCCCUGCAUCGUCCCCCACAUUCCUUCAGGCCCACCUGGCCUCUUGGUAAUGCUCUUUGAACCUCUAAGAACCACAGAUGGCAGCAGCGGCCCAAUUAGCGGUGGUCAGAGGGGCUGGGAGUCCAGGCUGCCCGUGGCGAGUGGGCUGCACAGCCCUCCCCUCUGUGCUUCCCAGAGCUCUCACCCCCCCGCUUUCCUCCGACUGCUCCCUUUGGCUGUCGUUGAUGGUUUGGGCAGAGCUAGAGAUGUCAGGCUCACGGAGAAAGGACCAGCUGGACCAAAGGCACACUCAGGGCACAGGGUUGGGUCCCCAAGUGGCCCUGGUGCCCUUGGGCUCGUUAGCCCGCAGCCAGACCACAUAAGCCCCGCUCACCUCUGUCCGUGCACCGCCUGUGGGCUGUUGGAAGCCAGUCUGUCUUGUCCGCGUCCAGACCUGUGGGUGGCCCCUGCUCUGAGGACUUGGAGACGUGGCUGUGCUGGGCCUGUGCCAGACCAGCACCUGCCCCGGGACCUGCGUGGCCCAAGUGGGUCUGGCAUCCCAUCAUGCACCUCGCGACUGCUGGGCUCCUCCGGAAUGUCCCGUAGGGAAGGCCGUGGGGCAGGGGCUGCACGCAAGGAGGUCAGACGCACCAGGACACCUUCCCGAGCCACUGACUACCACCACCCCACCCCAGCCCCGCCCAGGCCCCGGCUUGCCCACUGCCCUCACGGUGCUGUGUGGGGUGAGCGUCCGGCUCUGCAGGCACCAGGUCCGUGGGCACUUGUGGGUUCCGUUUUGUUUGGGGUUUUGCCCUUGAAAACAAUCACGAAGACGGUCAGCAAGAGGGGAGGUCUGCGCUGAUGUUAAAUGAGGCAUAAUCUGCUGAGAUCCGGCCUCUCAGAAGGACAAGAAAUCCGUUGUUGGACCUGCCCUGGAGCAGGGAGGAGGCCAGACACUAGGACAGUCUUAGGUGCCAAUCCCAGGCCAGCAAGAAUUCAGCCUGAGAGCAGGCCCUAGUCGGCCUUCCUGACGUUUCUGGAAAUAACUUUAGGAAAUGAGUUGUUUUUCCCUAGAGUGGCCAAGCACGAAGUUCAGAGGUUGGGCUUCAGGUAGGCAGCCGCCUUCCACGGUGACUGUGUCAUUGCUUCGUGGGCAGAAAACUCGGAGGCGCAUCACGCAGGUCAGGGCGGAUCUCUGCCGGGUGUCUUUUGGUUCCCGAAUCUUUCUGAUCGUCCACUGGAAACGUGAUGCUCCCCUGGAGGCCCGAGGGGCAGGUCCGGAGGUUUGUUGAACCCCGUCUCCUGUAGAAUUUGUAAAAACUAAAUAAAUCGCGACGGCGAUGAGAACAAUCCUCAAGGCGAAGCUGAUGACUCCGCGAGGGCUGGGCACCCCGGGGCCAGGCGCAGGGCCUGGACCACGCCCCCGCACCUGACCCCGACACACGCCCACUCUGUUGAUUUGGAGGCAGAAACCCUUUCAAAGACUUCCCUGUCUCUGCUUUCAGGCCCUCCCCCUGACUGAAGACCUAGGUCCCUGGUUGCAUUUCCCUUUUCCUUGUGUGGCCCAUCUGCUUCCCGGGUGAGCGGGGUGUUGUGUCUGGAGGGCCCCCUGUUCACGUGCGCGGAGGGGACAACCCUCUCCUGCUGUGGUGGGAACAGGAGCGCCUCGGCCCUCGCUCCAGGGCCCCCGAGGCCAGUGCCGGGUGCCCUGAGGCCCUGACAGCACUGCCCGCCUGUGGCCUGCCGGGAGCGUGGGAGAGGCUGCAGGGUGCAGACGGGAGCUGCCGCGCGUACAUUUCUGUUUUCGCUUGGUGACGUGGUCUCUUGUCCUUUCUGGGCGUUUCUCUGUUUUCAACCUGCUGUAGACGUUACUGCUCGUGCGUGAGCUUUCCUACUUCUCCGACGAGUCGAGCAGCCAGCACCGCUGGGGCCCCUUAGGCGUGCUGUGUCCACAGGGCUCCUGCUUGGGGAGGUGCCCUGCCGGGACCAUCUGGCGUAUUCUAACCGCGGGCAGUCUGUUCCAGGGGAGCUUGUGCAGUGCCCGCUGGGGAGACGGGCAGCCUCCGUGGCACCUGGUGUGAGACCACCUGUGAGGGGGGCGGGCACCGGCUCGUGGGCUCUCCCUGGAGGGGCCCGGUCCGUUCUUCCCUGGCUCUCAGCACAUCCCGCCAGGGGGACAGCGCGGGGGGCGGCGGUGGUGGUGAGGGGCGAGAAACAGUGACUGAUGUCACUCCUUUCCCAGCGUUCUGAGCUGUGAGCCCGUGUGACACAGGACUCGCCUGUUUUGCUAUUUUGGUUGUGAUUCCUUCUCCUGUGGAAUUGGCAAAAGCUACAUUUUUACUGUCCUUUCAAGCACGGUUGGCGUCGUCUCUGCUGUAGGUGUGGGCAGUGUGUGUACAUAUGUGUAUAUGUAUAUAUCACCCAGCGGCGUGAGCGCCGCCGUCCGGGGCAAAGCGACAGUACAAUAAAAGUGGCUCCCAAACAGCCUCUGGUUUCUUGACGAGUCGGGGCAGGAGCAGGGGGUCUGGGCGAGCUCCUCUGCCAGGUGCACAGAAGGAAACAGCGGCCCUGUUGUGUCCCUGGAAUCAGUGUGGACGGCAGGCCGGGCGCCUGAGCGCUGCCAGUGUCGGCUCCUCCAGGGUAGGGUGCAGGGCUGCCAAGGUCACACCCGUACCUGGGGGCUCACCUGACCCAGAGGUGAGCGGCUGGAAACCCCUCCCUCCCCUGAAACAUUAAAACCAAUUUUCUAAGCAUCAGAUACAAUCAGUGACAAAGCCACGUUCAAAGGGGUCUCUGUUCUGACCCCAGAUCCACCCUGGAGGGUCCCCGGGGAGGAAGCGGCUGAGCCUGGGGUCCUGUGGGCAGCAGCUUUUGGUGAUUUUGUCUCCCUGGAAAUAAGGGUGUUUCAGGGUGGGCGAGGGGAGCAGUUUACACUGAAACAUGUAUGCGUCAUGGUUAGAAGCUAAAUGCAGGCGCGUGGACCGCGAUCGUCCGUGUGCUGCUGUGUCCUGCUGCUGGGACCGACCUCUGCCCUGAGCCCACGCACACACCUGGGGCUGGGCUGGAGGGUCACGGUGGUUUCCCAUGGUGAUGGUCUCUUAUGUCUGAAUGUUGACCUAUGAUAAAGAUAACUUGUAAAAAAUAAAUGUUUUCACUGCAGA